UAAGCGGAGGAAAAGAAACCAACAGGGAUUGCCUCAGUAACGGCGAGUGAAGCGGCAAAAGCUCAAAUUUUAAAGCUGGCAUCUUCGGUGUCCGCGUUGUAAUUUUGUGAGGCAUCUCCGGGUAGGGCGCCGGCCUAAGUUCCUUGGAACAGGACGUCACAGAGGGUGAGAAUCCCGUGCUUGGCUGGCUGUCCCCGUCCAUGUGAGGUGUCUUCGACGAGUCGAGUUGUUUGGGAAUGCAGCUCAAAAUGGGUGGUAAAUUUCAUCUAAAGCUAAAUAUUGGUGGGAGACCGAUAGCGCACAAGUAGAGUGAUCGAAAGAUGAAAAGCACUUUGAAAAUAGAGUUAAAAAGUACGUGAAAUUGUUGAAAGGGAAGCGCUUGAGAUCAGACUUCGGUAGGGGGUGAUCAGCCGUCCUUCUGGGCGGUGCACUUGCCCCUCUCCGGGCCAGCAUCGGUUGAGGCGGCGGGAUAAAGGUCCCGGGAAUGUGGCUCCUUCGCGGGAGUGUUAUAGCCCGGGUGAAUGCCGCCAGUCUCGACCGAGGACCGCACCCGCAAGGGUUAGGAUGCUUGGCAUAAUGGUCUUCAGCGACCCGUCUUGA
rnacentral:rRNA from 1 species